GACGAACGCUGGCGGCGUGCCUAAUACAUGCAAGUCGAACGAACCGCGACUAAGUGCUUGCACUAAGUCAAGGUGAGUGGCGAACGGGUGAGUAACACGUGGGUAACCUACCUCAUAGUGGGGGAUAACAGUCGGAAACGACUGCUAAUACCGCAUAGGACAUAGGCUCACAUGAUCCAGUGAGGAAAGGUGGCGCAAGCUAUCGCUAAGAGAUGGACCCGCGGUGCAUUAGCUAGUUGGUAGGGUAAAGGCCUACCAAGGCGAUGAUGCAUAGCCGACCUGAGAGGGUGAUCGGCCGCAUUGGGACUGAGACACGGCCCAAACUCCUACGGGAGGCAGCAGUAGGGAAUCUUCCGCAAUGGACGCAAGUCUGACGGAGCAACGCCGCGUGAGUGAAGAAGGUCUUCGGAUCGUAAAGCUCUGUUGUUAGAGAAGAACAGCGCAUAGAGUAACUGCUAUGCGUGUGACGGUAUCUAACCAGAAAGCCACGGCUAACUACGUG
rnacentral:rRNA from 1 species